rnacentral:rRNA from 1 species
UACAGAGGGUGCGAGCGUUGUCCGGAAUCACUGGGCGUAAAGGGCGCGUAGGCGGCGUUUUAAGUCGGGGGUGAAAGCCUGUGGCUCAACCACAGAAUGGCCUCGAUACUGGGACGCUUGAGUAUGGUAGAGGUUGGUGGAACUGCGAGUGUAGAGGUGAAAUUCGUAGAUAUUCGCAAGAACACCGGUGGCGAAGGCGGCCAACUAGACCAUUACUGACGCUGAGGCGCGAAAGCGUGGGGAGCAAACAGG